rnacentral:lncRNA from 1 species
AUCAAAUUCACUGCAAGUGGCUAUAGGUCAUAAUUUUAGUUUCCUAUAAGACCACAAAGAAAGCAUCAUAAUCAUAAUCAACAGGAAUCUUGAAGCAAUAAUAAAGUUAUUUUUGUGUAACUUUUAGAUCACUAAUUCAAGUUACGAAAACAGUAGCUAAUGCUUGUUUUCAGCCGAAAAUCAACUGGCGGCCCCGGCUAGCUGAGGAGCGGGUGAGUGUGGGCCGGCGGAGCCAUUUGGGUGGUCAAACGGACUAAAUGGCGUGAACAGAUCAUUUUCGGACCAAAUCGGUGUGCUAUAACCCACAGUUUCGGAGUGAGUUUAGGAUCUGCGGAAUUUCGAGCCAUUGACUAGUGGGCUCCUGACUGAUUGAGGAGCGGAUGAGUAUGGGCCAACGAAAUCGACGGGGCCAUUUGGAUGAAUAGAUUGUUUACAUCAUAUUUUUUAAGGUACGGUCCUUUUUCAGACUCAGCUAAUGCGAGAUGUUCUGUUCAGCUAUUGAUGUUUUGUGGAUGAGUAUGGAAUCCUAAACUAGUCAGCAAUAUUUCUAUUUUGUAACAAGAAAUGUAUGCAAGUUGAGUAAAUGAUCUCAACAUUGUUUUGUUUGUUUCAUGUCAACUUAGAAUACAAACAAAUACCUCAUGAAUUGGUUUUAUUGAUAGUUGCAAUCCUCCAAAAUUGACCAUUCCAGAAAGAAAACAAAUAAACCCCAAAUUCUUAUCUAAAUUCAAUGGAUAUCUAUUAACAUAAAAACAAAUUGAAGAAUGAGGGAGAAAUGUAAGGAAAACAAAAAGAAAUUAAAGAAGACACGAAAACUUAUUAUAUUAUAAGUAAUGAUAAGCCAAUUUGAAGACAAAUACAUAGAAAGAAUUCAAUUAAAUUACGUGAAAUAAGUAAUACAUAUGGUUAGAGAUUGUUUGAAUACUUCCUUGGUUUUAAUUUAUGUGAAGAUAUUUGAUUGGACACAAAGUUUACAAAUAAAUCUUUUUUUUUUUUAAAUUCAUGAUCUAAAAUAAGUCAUAAAUAUUCAUAUAAUUGUAAAUCAUCAUGCAAGUAUUACUUAUAAUUACAAGGGCAUCCUUUUUCACUUUGAAUAGUUCAAUUAUACAUCAUAUUUUUAAUAAUAUGUUUAUUUCACAUGCUGUCUUGCAAGACAUAAGUAAAUAAAAUCUUAUGCCUUUAAAGUCUGUGAAACUGAUUAAAUUUUUCCUUCGUUAAUACAUUGCUCCAAAAAUAUUUUAACCAUCAUUUAAUUGGGCAAAUAGAUAAUCAAACUGAAUAUUAAUAAAAGCAUAUUUGGACCUACACGCAUACUUUACUACCAUGCUUGCUCUUAAUAUCAGAUGACCAUGCUUUGAUUUGAAAGUUCGAGCCAUUGCCAAAUAUUUAGUGACCGGUUCAAUUAAAGGUAUAUUUGGACCUACAAUCACUCUGUAAGGUCCUAUUUAGUUUCUAACUACAAUUAUGCAACAACUUAUGAAGUUGUAUUUAUGAAGUUCUCACCAAUUCAAGGCAUCAAACAGACACAUAUAAGCAAUUUUUCAAUAACUUAAUGUAUCAUUUUGUGUAAUUUACAUAUAUUGUGACUAAUUAUUCCAUUACAAUCAACAAAACCAUUCCCUUUUGCAAUUGUAUACCUUGAUCUUUUCUGCAGUUUAGAAUGUUCCUAAAGCAGUAUUCUUUUUAUUACUACAAUAUUAUUACUAUUUUUUAGUAGUAGUAGGUGAUAGGUCAGGUGGUUGAUCAAUAUCUCAUACAAUUGUGUUAUCACAACGUAUCACUAAUUACAAAAAGUUAGCCUAAUUUGGACCAGUUCUUAAGUCUGUCUGUUUUCUUUGGUUGGGAUAUAUUUCUAAAGAGUACUGCUAUAAGAUCAAUUAUUUAUUGCAAAAGGGCCAAAUUUAAAAAUAAUAAUUUUAUCAUUCGUUGUGCUUUUCAUAUAAAGAUACCUUAAUAAUAUUCAAAUGAUGCAAAUAUUACCUCUUUGUUAUUCAGACUAUUCAAGAUUGACAUAUGCUUAAUCGCACGUAGUAUUACUGAUAUUUUAAUGAGGAGAACACUACUUAGCAUUCCACCAUCAACGUAUACUUUUCUUUUUUCUUAAUGCAAUCAACUGAAUUAUCCAUUCGCAACCAACGUGUAUACUUUUCUUUUUUGUACAGUAGUUGAGAAUAUUCCUAAAGUAUUCUUUACAUUCGUUGAAAAAUUAUAGGUGAUAUAGGUCAGGUUCUUGAUCAAAAAUAUCUCAUACAAUUGUGUGACGGCAACCUACAUGCUGUUAGAUAUUUUGGCCUAAUUAAUUUGACGAGUUAUUGGGUCCGUUCUGUAUAGCAAAUCAUUCUUAAUCAGUAUUUGAAAUUUAUGAAUUCGUAUUAGAAAUUUUGUUAAUUUGAAAUCUAUUACUACUUAUAACUCAUAAAUUUGAACGAUGUUUUGAUGUUGCUUCUACAUCAUCUUUUUGGUUUUGGAGUGGGAUAUUUUGUAAAGACAGCUGUAAAGUCACUCACGUAAUGUAGUAGUAGUACCAAAUGAUUAAAACAAGCAUAUGUAUCACUUGACUAUUCUACAGAUAAUGAAAUCUGUGACAUGUUUUAUUAAAAUGAACAAUGUAUGGAUGAAAUUUUACUUUCGAGAACCUUCGGAUUAUGAGAAAAUUGAAAUCCUCUGAUUGGCAAUCCAUCAUCUGUCUGUCAUAUCUUGUAAUUUAUCAUUGAUAUAUUUUUAACUCUUACGGGUCAUUUGGUAGGAGGAUUAUGGAAUAAAUAAUUUCAAAAUUAAUUUAAGGAUGAAUUUAUUAUAUAUUUGGUUGGGAUAAAAUUCAUAGGAUAACUCAUCUCACGAUUAUAGUGUUAAUUUUUAUCCCUUUCCGAGGAUGUGAUAACUAAUCCCGAAAUAGCUACUUUCCCAACCAAAUGACACCUUAGAGGUGAAACUGUAUUUCUCUAUCUCAGGUGUUGGGUUUAUCGAGUUCGAUAUGAUAAAAGUGAGAUUUAUCAGAAACAUUGUUUGGGUUAUUUUUAUUUGGGAGAAAGCUCGAAUUUAUCUCUCUACUUUAAAAAAUUGAAUAAAUAUACCUCUUUUUUUUUAUCAUAAUUAGGGCAAACUUUCCAUAGUAGAGGGGUAUUCAGCCCUUUUCCCUUUUCCCUUUUGGUCAUUUGCUGCUUACUAUACUUUGCAUGGUAUCGGUGUAAAGAGUGGGCCGGGCUUAUUUUUUGUUGGAUUGGAGUGAAAUCCCAUUAUCACAUAAAAUGAGAUGGCAGCAGUAUGGUGGUAUCUACAUUACACCAAAGGCGAUGUUACAGCAACCAUAAUCCGGCCUUCUUACUGCUUCGAAACUAAUUCAAAUGCAACCCUGUAGUUGAGAUGAUACAAAGGCAAGCUCAAACUCAAAAAGAAUAUUUCAAACCUCCAUUCUUACAUACAAAUUUAUCACAAAAGUUUUAAAUUUUACACUUUAGUCCCCCACCUCAUUCGUUUAAUAUUUUACAUCUUUUUUUAUAUUUUCACCAUUUUUUUCAUAUUUCCUAUUUUAAUGUAGAAAAUUGUCCAAGAAGCCACCAAUAGGAGCUCCCUUUUUCACCAAUAAUUUUCGAUUCCGGCCACUUUUUUCGACAAAAAAUUGUUCAUCACAACUGAAAAUCUCCAUUCUUCAUCAUUGCCUCCAUUGUUGUUCCAUCCUUUUUGAAAAAAAAUGUAAAUUUUUUUUUUCACCAUUUCUACUAGCUCAAAAAGCUUUCCAAAUCCGCUCAAUACCUCGUCAUUAGAUAUAUUUCAGUAGUUUAGAAGUCCUACACAUACAUUUUUCCAUCCCAGAGCUAGGAGAGCAACGAUUAUAUAAAAAAUCAGUCGAUUCGUGUCUUUGUACGGACGUAUUCAUACCAGUCAUCGACCAUCUAUAGACCUAAACCUUGAUCUAUUAUCGAUUUGUGUGGUCUAUUAUGGCAGUAGCUGAGGUAGUUGUCGUAGGUGGUAAUUAUAUGGGUGCAUGGGAGGAGGGUCCCAACUGUUGGAGGUGGAAAACAUUUAGAAAAGAGACAGUGCCCAUCCCGCUGCGUCGCAAUGGAUCGUACGACGACAUGAUUUGAAGCGUAAUUGAGAGCAGAGAAUUAGAAUGCGAGCCAAAGAACAUUGUGAUUAGCUAUGUAAUGAAUGAGCGGGGUAAAAUACAUCCCGAAUUCAUAAAUAAUGAUCGGCAUGUGUCAUUAUACAUGUUCGAUGUCGCUGCCGAUGGCUCUAGGCCAUUAUUGAGGAUAAAUGUCGUUCUGGGAUCUCCGACAAUCCCGCCACCACAGCCGACAAUCGACGAACAUGAUUCAUUUGAAGAUGAGAGUUUGGAUGCUCAUCCAAUGGAUUCGGAAGAUGAUUCAAUGGAAUUGGAAGAUUCAAUUUUCUCUAAAGAAGGGAGAGAAGAGUGCGAAUUGGGAGCAUAAACCAACCACAGCUUCUCUGACGGAACUAAUUUUCAGGUAAAUCAAACAUUUAGCAGUAAAAAAGAGCUGAAAUUAUUGCUGGACAUAGCAUCUGUGAGAAAUUCUUUUGAGUAUGCUACGUUGAAGAGCUGCAGGAAAUUUCUCAAGGUGAAAUGUGUUUGUCCUAGCUGCGGGUGAAUUUUGCGGGCGAAGAAGUAUGAAUGCACGGACAGAUUCGUCAUCUAUAAAUACGUCGGCAAUCAGAAUUGCAGCGUCGAGUACGUCACCCGCUGCCAUAGGAAAAUCUCAUCUAAAGUCAUUGCAUCGCUGUGUGUGAACAUGUAUCGCGAAGGAAAGGGUCUGGACACUAGCGAGAUACGGAGGAUCGUUUUCAAGAACUUGAAAAGUAGACCAAGCUAUUGGAAAUGUUGGCUGGGGUGUGUGAUUGCCAAGGAAAUGGUUUGAGGGAUAGCGGAGCACAGGUAUACCUGUCUGCCCAUUUUUUCGUACAAGAUCCACUCUUAAUGAUGGCACUACCUAUUCCAUCAUGGUAAAUAAAGUCGAUUGUAGGUUUAUGUACUACUUUUUAUCGUUGGGCCCUUGCAUUAGGGGAUUCACCCACAUGAGGAAGGUUAUUGCGGUCGACGACACUCAUUUAUACGGCAAGUACGAGGGCGUGUUGCUAAGCACGGUUGCACAGGAUAUGGAGAACUAUAUUUAUCCCAUUGUCUUUUGUGUCGUUGACAAGGAGAACGAUGCAUCUUGAAUGUUCUUCUUUGAGAAACUGAAGUCUAUUGUGGUCAAUGGACCAGAUUUGUGCUUUAUCUCAGAUAGGCACAAGAGCAUCGCCAACGGCAUCGUGAGGGCAUACAACCAUGCUCAUCAUGGGUACUGCAUGAGGCACCUAGGUGAAAAUCUCCGGGUAAAUCACCACUGCGGAGAACACCUCUAUCUAUUCUACAACGCGGCAAAGGCAUAUUUUCCCGAGGAGUUUAGCGACCAUUUUGUGGAAUUCAAGAACUACUGUCCCGAGGCAGCCUUUUUCCUCGAGCAUGAGCUUGGUUUUGACAAAUGGAGCAGGGCAUAUUUCUGUCACGCCUCAAAUCCUAUUGGGGCGGACUGGCACCCAUAACCAAGGAGGCCCGGAGAACCAGCUCAUAACCUUAUACUUCCCAUGCAUACCUCUAUGACAACCCAAAAUUCAGACAGCAUCAUGUUGCAACACUUACUAGAACUUGUGACAACCUGUACAUUGUAUUUAUUCAAUCACUUUACCUUCGUUCUUAUCAUCUUUGUAAUCAUUACUGUACUGUACUGUGACCAUUAGGCUGCCUCCAGUACAUAUCAACUGGGAUCGACCCAUGCUAGGCUUAUGCCCCUGGGAUACCACCCAUAAACACAUAACUAGGGAUCGACCCAUGAUAGGCUUAUGUCCCUGGGAUACCACCCGAUAAAAGAGAACUUCCAUCAUUAGUUCAAUUAAUCUUUGAGAUUGUUAUUUCGGUCGCCACCACAUUUUUGAUACUUUGAAACAAUGAUACAUCAAUAAGAGACAUAUAAAUAGACCAUCAAUGCAAUAACAAUGAAGUAAGAACUCAUUGACACAUCAAUAAAGUGUUUUGGAGUCAUCAAUGCCAUAACAAUGAAGUAGGAACUUAUUGGUAUAUCAAUGAAACGUUUUGGAGUCAUUAAUAGCACAUGGAUCUUGUUCGAGUAACCGGAUACCUUAUGACAUUCAUUAGUGCAAUAAAUAUGUAAGAUUUGGAAAACAAGUAAGUAUUGGAAUGUCUUGACAUCUUGUAGGGUGGAAACAAGUUCAGUGGUAACGUAGGACAUCAUACAAAACCAUUAUGGAUCACAUGUUAUUGAAUAACUUUGGAAACUUUCUUAAUAGAACAAUUGUUCACUUUCAUGCCAAAGAUAUGGUAUAGAGUAUGCUUUACAUACCUGACUGUCAACCUUCAAUACUAGUCCCAAAUGGACUUCCCGUCUUUUCAGAUUACUUAUCUACAAUGAACAUAUAUAGCAAUCUAGUAUUAGCGACCAAACGUCACAAUUCAAUUAUUUGAAUUCACCAAACUAGUGGUUAAGUAGUAAGCCUUAAUUACACCAUAAAGGGUGUCACUUUAACCCUCUUAUACUCCAAUUACAUUCACAUGCCAUGCAUAUUCAUACAACAUCCUCCAAUAUCAAGUUUGGAUUCAUUUAUCCUUCCAACCAAUCCAUUAAACCAAAUUGAGCCAUAGACAUAAAUAAUCAUCAAUUCAAUAGUAUAUCACCAUAUCCACCUUCCAUAACUCAAUUACCAUAUCCACCUUCCACAAUUCAAUACAACCAAACCAUGCAAAAUAGUCCAUAACCCUAUUUUCAUCACCUUUCAAUAACAACCAAUACAUAUAAUCCUCUAUCACACAUAUACAUAUAGAAAAGAACAAAGGCAAACAAUNNNNNNNNNNNNNNNNNNNNNNNNNNNNNNNNNNNNNNNNNNNNNNNNNNNNNNNNNNNNNNNNNNNNNNNNNNNNNNNNNNNNNNNNNNNNNNNNNNNNNNNNNNNNNNNNNNNNNNNNNNNNNNNNNNNNNNNNNNNNNNNNNNNNNNNNNNNNNNNNNNNNNNNNNNNNNNNNNNNNNNNNNNNNNNNNNNNNNNNNNNNNNNNNNNNNNNNNNNNNNNNNNNNNNNNNNNNNNNNNNNNNNNNNNNNNNNNNNNNNNNNNNNNNNNNNNNNNNNNNNNNNNNNNNNNNNNNNNNNNNNNNNNNNNNNNNNNNNNNNNNNNNNNNNNNNNNNNNNNNNNNNNNNNNNNNNNNNNNNNNNNNNNNNNNNNNNNNNNNNNNNNNNNNNNNNNNNNNNNNNNNNNNNNNNNNNNNNNNNNNNNNNNNNNNNNNNNNNNNNNNNNNNNNNNNNNNNNNNNNNNNNNAUUUGGAUGAAACCAAUUGCAUUGGAAAUAAGACUCAAAGAUCUUUCUUUUCAUAGGUCGCAGCUCUUCCAGUUCAUUAUAUUAAGGGAGUUAUGAUCGUUCAAAGUUGACCCAAAAAAAUGGCUGGCCUCAGUAGUUUGUGUGCAGGAAAUUUUCCUGCACAUUUACUAUUCCCAAAUAUCCCGGCCACCGUUUUAUAGUUUCGAACGUGCUCGAUUAUAUCCGAAACCUAUUUGUUUUUGAAAAUCUUUAUAUCGUUGGAAAUCUUAUUCAAUAACCUUCGUAUGGAACCAUCGACAGGCAAAUUUCGGUAUAAAUAAAAUAAAAUAAAAUUAAUUCCAUAUAAAUAAGACCAAUACUCGUACUUGAAUAUGCCAAUACACGUACUUGACUACGGGGUGUUACAAUUUCCCCAGCAACAGGUUUGACGUGAUGACCACAAAUAUUACCGAGUCGGUGAACUUUAUAUUGAUUGACGAAAGAGAGUACCUCGUGGCAUCCAUAUUCAAUUCGAUUGCCAAGAGGUUUAGUGAAAUAUUCAGGGAGAAGCGUGCCUACGUCCUUAAAUGUAAGGAUAACAAAUUUGUUCCCAUCGCUGAAAAGAUCUUAAGAGACAAUAUGAGCGAGGGCGGCUCCUUCUAUGUGGAGAACAUAAGCGGGGACGAAAGGCAAUACACUGUGUUUGUAAGUGGCUAUAGGCCAAAGUCGACCAACUGAAAAGGUCGUGUUCUUGCAGGAAGUUUGACCUAGUCAAAAUACCAUGCGAUCACGCGAUGGCCGAUUUGUGAUCAAAGCACGGUGAAGAUUAUGGUUUGAGAGUCUAUGAUUACUCUUCGCCCCUGUAUAAAGUGGAAGAGUACAUCCUUGCGUAUUCGAAAUCAAUUAAUGUUGUCCCUUUGGAGUUCGAAUGGUGCGUGCCACAAGAAUUGCUAGACGUGAACAUUAUUCCACCUCUCGUGGUCACCAAGCUCGAAAGGAAGAAAAUAAAAUAAGUUAAGGGCGUGGGAGAGACUUUCAAGUCAAAGAGAAGGAUCAAGUGUUCACUGUGCAAGAGAUCCGGGCACAAGAGAACCACUUGUAACAACAACAAAUCGUAGUUAGUCUUGUAUGAAUUUGUGUUUUUGUAAGUCAUGGCAGUGUAUGUAUUUUGACAACCCUUCAGUUGUCCGAUUAAUACCAGAUUUAUCGAUUGCACUCUAUGUCUAUUAUCGACCUUUUAAAGUAUUGCAUAUAUUGUGUGUCCGGUCUAUUUCUUUUAUUUUUAUUUAACUCAUGGUUUAUUAUUGAUCCCAUAUAAGGUCUAUUAAAAAUCCUAAAUAUUUAAAGGGACAGAUGAACAGUUGAGCAUUUAUUACACAUCAAAAAAGCUGUUGCACGUCCAAUCACACGUUGCGUCGAUUGGGUAUACACUACCUCUCUUCGAUUUCCACCAUUCACACGUCUACCAACCAAUGGAUAGGAAGACCAAAGGAUUCUAUUUUGGUCUAUAUAAACACCCAUCUACUGCACCCAAAAUUCAUCUUCAUCAACUCAAAAUCAGAUUUAAUCGACAAGAUGCCAGGCAUUCCUUUGAGACUAAGAAGGAGGAUCCGCCAUAACUAUGACCUGCUCCUCAUCCGCAACAACCUUAAUCGCCUGUCCUAUGGGCUGGAACAGGAUAGGGAGCACCUCCACCGCGAACUUCGGCGGAUUGCUCGUUUUUUAUGGGCGAUUGGGAGCGGCUCAACAUGGAGUCGGAGGAGAUGAUCCCCCCACCAUCCCCUUAAAUUUAAGUUUUUUCAUUUCAGUUUUUUUUGUUGUUUUAAGUUCGUUGCAAGGUAAAUUCUAUAGAGUUGCAGUCCGGCCUGUUAUGUUGUAUAGAGCAGAGUGUUGGUUGGUUAAGAAUUCUCAUAUCCAAAAAUUGAAGGUGGCGGAAAUGAGGAUGUUAUGUUGGAUGUGUGGAUUCACAAGAGCUGACAGAGUUAAGAAUGAAAUUAUCUGGGAGAAGGAGGGAGUGGUGUCAAUGGAGGAUAAAAUGCGAGAAGUGAGGUUGAGAUGGUUUGGCCAUGUGAUGAGGAGGGGCACGGAUGCCCCAGUUUGUAGGCGUGAGAGGUUGGCCUUGGAUGAUUUCAAGCGGGGUAGGGGUAGACCGAAGAAAUACUGGAGAGAAGUGAUUAAAUGUGACAUGGAGCAGUUACAGCCGACUGAGGACAUGACCCUGGAUAGGAAGAUAUGGAGAAAAAGCAUUAGGAUAGAGGGCUAAGGGUGUGGAUGAGUAGUAGUCAGUAAUUAGGUGGACUUCGGUGUCCUUUAUUUGGCAAUGUAAAUUUUUUGUGGAUGUCGUACCUAUGUUAUUUUAUCAUGUUCUAUGCUUUGGAUGCUUCCGGGGGUCUAUCGGAAAUAACCUCUCUACCUCUUUUGAGGUAGUGGUGUGGACUGCGUACACUAUACCCUCCCCAGAUUGCACUAUGUGGGAAUAUACUGGAUUUGUUGUUGUUGUUGUAAGUUCGUUGCAAAGAGAAGCUUUCAUGGUUAGGAAUGUUAGAUGAAAGCUUCUUCACUUUGCUUUGUUUUUGCCGUAAAUAUGGUUCUGCACCAUCAUUGCAAUGAAUUAUUAAUGAAGUAUGUUUGUUUGCCUACAUUCGUGUAUAUUUUAAUUUUGCAAUUUUGUUCUGGUUUAAACUUUUUCAAUUUCUGAUGUUAGAAGAUGAAUCAAACGGUUGUGAGAUGUGGAAUUAAUUCUUGUUUAAUUCUUGUUUCUAAUUUAUUUCUUGUUUCAUGCGUUUUUCGCUACUGUAAUUUUAUAAUUUUUUCCUUUUUAGAUUUUUGCAUGAGAUCAAGGUAGAAGAUGAACGAGACAGUUGUCAGACGUCAAAUUAAUUCAUAUACUCCAAUGGAAAAUUAAUCUGAUCUAUCCGCAAUUAUAUUGAUUUAUACAAAAUUAAAUAAAAAUUCGAUGGGGUUUAUUCGAUACUGAUCUCAAUGUCUAUGCUCAAACAAAUAAAUAAUCGAUGUGUUAAACAAUACCGGUCUAUCGAUUGUAUUUAGUAAAUUUCAUAGACUGUAAGCCUUGUCAAUAAUAUACCGUUUUGGUUUAUUGCCCUUAGUAACAUAUUUGGAAAAAAAUAUUAAUUAAUAAAAUAAUAAAUAAUUCGAUUUGAUGUAAUUAAAGGAGUUUGAAUAAGUCAUGUCAUAAUAUGAGAGUCCAAGUAAAUUGAAUAAGGUGAUCAAUGAUGUGUGAGGAUGGGUAGUGGAUGAACAAAUUAAUUCCUCACAACAUACUUAUGCUUUGGUAAAACAUUGCCCUAAAGAUGUUGGUUGUUCAACCACAACUCAUCACCUCACAUCUUGUUUCACCACUUUCAAUUUAUGUGAACUCUUAUACGAUCACAUGACUUGUUUAGGCUCAUUUGAUUGCAUAAAAUUCAAUUACUUAUUAUUUUAUUAAUUAAAUAAUCCUUUUCAAAAUAUGUACUAGUCAUGGUCUAUAAAUUUGUGUUAUAGUUUAAUGCAUGUAUUAAUGAAGUUGUACAAAAUCUAUGCUAGACUAUGUUUAGUUUUAUACUCGACCUGAUAUAGUCUGGCAUAGACUCUUAACUACUUCCACAAAUAAAUAACUAGACUAUGAUAUUUAUUCAUAGACCAUAACUAGCACAUAUUUUGAGAAGGGUUAAUUAAUUAAUAGAAUAAUCAAUAAUUGAAUUUUAUGCAAUCGAAAGAGCCUAAACAAGUCAUGUAAUCGUAUGAGAGUCCACAUAAAUUGAAAGUGAUGAUCAAAGACGUGAAGUGAUGAGUUGUGGUUGAACAAAUGAAUUCUCCACAACAUACUUGUGCUUUGGGUAAACAUUGCCCCAUGCAUAUUUGUUGUUCAUCCACUACCCAUCUUAACACACCAUUGAUCACCUUAUCCAAUUUACAUGGACUCUUAUACGAUCACAUGACUUGUUCAAGCUCCUUUAAUUGCAUAAAAUUCAAUUAUUUAUUACUUUAUUGAUUAAAAAAUACUUCUCAAAAUAUGUGCUAGUUAUGGUCUAUGAAUAUGUAGCACAGUCUAGUGCGGUUAUUAAGGAAUUAGCUCCUAGUAUAUGCUAGACUGUCUAUCUAUUUGGUGAAGCAUCUACCAAAAGCAUGAGAAGGCAUCGAUUAUAAAUAAGGUCUAUAAAACAAGACCAACAGUAAAAAAAAUAAAAAUGUCAUAUUCUUACAAUGGUCAUAAAGUACACGGCAAAUCAACACCAAACAGUAAUAUCUCACUUUUUUUUCUAUAAAAGGAAGGCUAUUUUUGUGUUAACACUCUCAUUUUUUUUUUGCUUUAAUUUUUGUUAGCAACUACAAUGUCUCAAGCAUCCCAAAAAUCAAAUGCAAAAGUGUCCUACAUAUGUCAUUGUGGCAAUCCAACUGUUUUUAGGACGUCGCGCACCGAUUGAAAUUCAGGUCGAAAAUUCUUUAACUGUGCGGUUGAAAAGGAUAAUGGCGGAUGCUUUUUUUUAAGUGGCUUGACGAAGACUCACCGACGAGCAGCCCAUCGACAUCAAAUUUUCGAGGCGCUUCCAAAUUUCAUAUACUCCAAAGGCUUCGGAAAUUCGAAAAAAAUAGAGAUUUACUCAUGACAUUGCUAAAAGAAGUCGAAGAUCAAAGGGAUUACUUGAAAGGAUCGCUAAAAGAAGUCGAAAUGGAGAGGGAUCAAGUAAAGCAGAGGCUGAUUUUGACCGAGGAAAAAGUGAAAGGCCUAAAAAAUUUAUUGUAUGAUUUGUUAUUGUUGUUGGCUUUCUGGAAAAGUGUAAUAGGGAAAUAGGAAAUUGAAUAAAUAGAUGUAAGUUUUCUUAAAUCAAUCCUGGGCGUAAUCUAUAAUUAAUAGAGAAUUAUGUCUAUGUAUUUUAUCAUCGACCUUCAUAAACCAUGAUAGUUACGGUAAGUAAAUAU